rnacentral:tRNA from 1 species
GGGUGAUUAGCUCAGUUGGUAGAGCAGGCGACUCUUAAUCGUCUUGUCGGGGGUUCGAGUCCCUCAUCACCCACCA